CCGCAGCAGUGAUUAUGUGUCUGA
rnacentral:piRNA from 1 species